rnacentral:rRNA from 1 species
UGCCCAGUGACAUUUUGUUCAACGGCCGCGGUAUCCUGACCGUGCAAAGGUAGCAUAAUCAUUUGCCUUUUAAUUGGAGGCUAGUAUGAAUGGGUAGACGUGGAUUCAGCUGUUUCUAUAUUAUAAAUAAAACUUAAACUUUAGGUGAAGAUGCCUAAAUUUUAUAGAAAGACAAGAAGACCCUAUAGAGUUUUAGUUAAAAAUAUUACUCUAUUAUAUAAUAACUUUGGUUGGGGCGACCUAGGAUUUUUAUAAACAUCCUAAUAAUUAACGAUAUAUCUAUCUCAUAUAAUGACCCUAAAUUACGGAUUAUCAGAAAUAACUACCUUAGGGAUAACAGGCUUAUCUUCCUAGAGAGCUCUUAUUGAUAGGAUGGUUUG